rnacentral:rRNA from 1 species
GUGAGGAAUCUUCCACAAUGGGCGAAAGCCUGAUGGAGCAACGCCGCGUGAAGGAUGAAGGUCUUCGGAUUGUAAACUUCUUUUAUGAGUGAAGAAUAUGACGGUAACUCAUGAAUAAGCACCGGCUAACUACGUGCCAGCAGCCGCGGUCAUACGUAGGGUGCAAGCAUUAUCCGGAGUGACUGGGCGUAAAGAGUUGCGUAGGCGGUUAUGUAAGCGAAUAGUGAAACCACGUGGCUCAACCACACAGACUAUUAUUCGAACUGCAUAACUCGAGAAUGGUAGAGGUAACUGGAAUUUCUUGUGUAGGAGUGAAAUCCGUAGAUAUAAGAAGGAACACCAAUGGCGUAGGCAGGUUACUGGGCCAUUUCUGACGCUAAGGCACGAAAGCGUGGGGAGCGAACCGGAUUAGAUACCCUAGUAGUCC